UUGACAGCAUUAGAAAUUGAAGUUCCUUUUUUAUCUACAGAACAGGUACAGCAUGUACAGUCACCACAAACCCAGGCUGCUGAUAUGUCUUGGCUCUGUCCUGGGCUUAACAACCUGGAAGGAAGCGGGAAUAAGCUGUUCUUCAUGGCCCUUUUAGGUUGUGCUGUU
ensembl:misc_RNA